GCACUGGUGGUUCAGUGGUAGAAUUUUCACCUUCCAUGCGGAGACCCAGGUUCAAUUCCUGGCCAGUACA
rnacentral:tRNA from 1 species